CGGACGCAUCUGUGGCGCGCGACACUACACACACUUUGUGUCUCUGUCUCUCUGAAGGUGCAUUCAGGUGCCGUGGUUUACCGGGUUGACCUCAACACACCUCUUUACCUGCACGUUUGUCGAAGCCUGAGGAGCACAGGUGCUAGUGGAGAGGAAAACGAUUUACACUUGGUACGUAUGGCUGAUACAAUCACGUUUUAAAAUACACAAGCUCAAACGUGCUCAACCUGCUCAUUAGUGUAAUGGCACACAUAACAAUAUAACACAUUUUCCUGAAUAUAGACUUAUUCUGGUUGUUACUUUUAAUGCUAAAUUAUAUAAUUUAAAAGUUUGGCAAACACAGUUAAGUUCAAAAGUAACAUUAUUGUUUGGUUAAGCUCUUGUGAAACCAAAGUCUUUGAAGUCUUUAAUAUGUCAAUGCCCCCUUUCAGUCACAUGGCACCUUACAUGACACACAACUCUACACUAAACGUAUUUCAACAUAAUCAGGAAUGUCAUGUGUCCACAACCAGAUUAUUCAUCACGUCUGGACCUUCAAAAAAAAAAGAAAAUCCCCGCGUGUGUGAAUGUGUGUGAUGACAGACGCCUCCUCCACAUGUCCAUUCAGGACGAACAGUGGACUGCAGUGUUUCCUCUGUUAACAGAGACCGCAGUGACUCCUUUCCCUGAAAUAACCGCCACUGUUCCCAGUCUUACACAUGGGCAUUCAAAUCACACCAGAAAGUCGUACAAAACAACGUCUCGUUUAUUCUCCCUCUGCCACAGGAGAUGAUUUUUACAGACUGUACAUGAAAAAUAAAAAAAACAACAAAAUAUCUGAUUCAUACAUUUGUCUUUAGAUGGUGAGAUCCAUCCACAAAACACCUCACACACCACACACACAUCCACGCACACACACACACACACACUCUUCAUCCUUCUUUGACAUGUUAGCAGUUAUUUACCGUAUUUCACUGUAUUGACUGUGUUCCUACAGCUGGACCUGGUUGCUCAUCUCAUGUGUUACUUUUAUAUCAAUGUAAGCAAAGCA